UACGUAGGGUACAAGCGUUGUCCGGAAUUAUUGGGCGUAAAGAGCUCGUAGGCGGUUCGUCGCGUCUGCUGUGGAAACGCAAGGCUCAACCUUGCGCGUGCAGUGGGUACGGGCGGACUAGAGUGCAGUAGGGGAGUCUGGAAUUCCUGGUGUAGCGGUGAAAUGCGCAGAUAUCAGGAGGAACACCGGUGGCGAAGGCGGGACUCUGGGCUGUUACUGACGCUGAGGAGCGAAAGCAUGGGGAGCGAACAGG
rnacentral:rRNA from 1 species